GUGUCUUUAUAAGCUUCAGUCUCUCUUCUCCUCACACUCCAACCCUGCUCACCUCUCAGCUGGACAGUAAGGGACGUUUACACCACACACUGACAACAUGCUGGGGACCCUCUGCACUCUCAUCACUGCUCUAACAUAUGUUGAUGCAGUGAUAGUGCUGACCCAGACACCUCCUGUCCACACAGUUUCUACAGGACAAGAGGUUGUUCUCAACUGCAACAUUCAGAGAUAUGAUGGAAAUAGGGUCAGAUGGUAUAAACAGGUUCCUGAUGCAGCUCCUCAGUAUGUUCUAGACAGUUCCCUCAACUUUGGAUCAGGAUUCUCCUCAAACCGAUUCAACUCUAAAUCCUCAUCAAACAUAGAUUAUCAGUUCAUCAUAAAGCAGGCGGAGACAGGAGACUCUGCUCAGUAUUACUGUCAGACAUGGGAUGAUUCUGCUUCUGCAGCUGUAUCACAGUGAUUCACUCUGUGACAAAAACCUCAAUAAGAGACUCACCACAGCUUUUAAGAAUUCUGAGAACAUUUUUAUGGAUGUUAUUCUCAGUUUGAUGCUGAUAUUUGGACUUUUGACAAAACCAUGAAAACAAAAAGAUUCAACAAAAUAUCCAGAAUCAUUCCUCAAGUCCAGCAGUGUUUAUGAAUAUAAUCGGACUGAUGGAGUGAAUGAGACGUCGACAGAGAAAGUUGG